CGGGGGACGCCGCUGCUCCCAGGGACAGCGGGUCGUGUCUCCAGCUUCCUGCCGGCAGCCCCCAGCUGCACGCCUCCUCCUCGGCCGCCUGGCCUGACCCCCUCCCCUCUCUUUCCUCCUCGGGCUCCUGUCUGUCCCCUCCUCGGUUCCUUCCGCUGUCCUCUUCUCCACUUCUGAGGGGAGUGUGUUCUGUGCCCCCCGCCUCCUGCGCCUGGUCCCUGGCCCUCCCAGAUGCUGCUCCGUGCGCCUCCACCAGCGGGCCCUCCUCUGGCCUCCCUAUCUGUGGUCCCCAAUGACCGGAUCCUGGGGGUGACAGGGCUUUGCCCCUGUGGCUGCUCAGAGGCGCAAGAGUGGCUGCGGGGCGGGCCCUGGCCUCCCGCCUCCCCCUCUCCCUCACUCCCCUCCCUUCCCCCCUGUCUGGCUGGCGGUCCAGCCUCCCCCUUCCUCCCCCCACCUCUCCAACCAUCGUGCGCCACAUCUGCUUCUUGUUAACUCCGGGAAAGAGAGGGAAAAAAAAAGGAAAAACAGAGAAAUGUGGAGUUGCCGCCGGGCUUGGGGCCAGCCUCUCAGAUGGGCCACAUGGAGGGGAGCCGGGGCCAGAGCUGGGGAGGAGGCCCAGGGCCGGGCGCUUAGACAGGGAACGGGAGCUGGAGCCACAGCUCUCCUGGGGCCAGGGCAGGCCUGCCCUGCGACAGAGGACCUGAGAGAGGAGCCCAGACGGGAGAGCAGUGAAGGGUGGACGAAGCUGCGGGGUGACACAGACUUGGAAGAGAAGGCUGGGACUGCCUGCGUGAUGAGGGACCCAGUGAAGGGAGACACCAGAGAAGAUUCCAGGCUUUGAGCCAGGAUGGGUAAGUCGAGAAGAGGCGUGGAUUUGAAGGAAAGAGAGAUGACCUUGGUUUGGACAUCCUGAGUUCAAGGUGAGUGGAGCACAUCCCCAUGGACGUAAACAUCCGCGAGACGGUUUGCAGUGUGGGUCUUGAUUCUGGGAACCGUUUGCAGGACCGUAGUCUGAAGCCCUGAGAAGGGCGGAUGCCACUGAAUGUCAACGUGCCUCUUCUGAAUGAUCUGCCUCUGAGGUCCUGGGGCCCAGACGAUGAGCCUGAAGAACGGGAGAAAGGCUGGCAACAAGACAGGAUGGUGAAAGUAAACACUGGGACCAACGGAACUGGCAGCGUGUGGCUGCUCCUCAGCGGUGAGGGGUCAGCACCGAGGGAGACGUGAGGGAAAGGGUCCUGAUUUCAAAGUCCCUGUCAGGGGAAGCUGCAGCCCUGUCCCUGCUCCGCAUCAGUUCUAGACCCCGGCCCCGGCCCUGGCAGGAAGCCAACUCCCUUCUGCUCCGGGUUGCCCUGGCUGCCGCUAUGAGUUGGCUCUCUCUGCUGUGCCCCCUCUUUGCUCCCUUCAGGGGCCUCUGGCAACCUGAAAAAUCACCCCAGCCAUCUGGUCACUACCCAGUUGUCACCCAUUCCUUUGCCUGCUCCCUUAAGAUCAAAACAUCUAUUGUAUUUUAAGUGCAUCAAGUCAAAAUGUUGGCUUUGAAACCUAAGGGCAGUAGGUUGCAUUUCAUUUAGUCCUGUAAUUAGGAGCCAAGACCUAGGGCCUGACACGAAUGUUUAUGAGAUCUCAAAGAAAUCAGUGAUGCUGGGCUCCCUGGGGAGGCCAAUUCCUGGGUUCACUGGGAGGCCUGAGAUGUUGGGCAAGCCGGCUGCAAUGGAGACUAAGGUUAGAGAGAAUGCAGCCGUGGUGGCGGUGGUGGUAUUGACAGGCAGCCACAAAUUUUCAAAGAGAAUGGCGAGAGAAUUCCUGAGACCAAAAAAGGCUGAGAGUCCCUGGGGCACUAGGACAAGAUCUAUUUUAUAACCUCUCCAAGAUAGGAGAUUUCCAAGGGUCUAGUCCAAUGGGAACUCUCGGCUAUUACCAGGCAAGGAACUCAGGCAGUCAACCAUCACUGACUGAGCAGUGAGCUCCUGGGCCCGGGGCCAGGACAGACGGGGCACGGGCAGAGAGGGGCAUUUUCUAUCCACGGCUCUCUAUCUGAGACUGAGUCGUGGGAAGAAAAAAGGGCAAGUAAUAUGAAUUGGGCCUUGGGUCAUGCGAACCCAGACAGGAAUUCCAGGCUGGGGGGACGUUUGAGCCAGAGUCGACUCCUGUACGAAUGCACACAUUUUCUUUUUCCUUCCAACACUUCCCACAGGUACGAUACUUGAGGAGGCAACAUUCUUGGACUCAGGGCUCAGCCUUCAUUUUCCAGAUUUUGCUCUUCCACCCCUGAGCCUAAUCCUGACCAUGUCUUCUCCUUGAAAAAAAUGUCACACUAAUAAAAUUCACUGAAUUAUUAUUUAAAAAAAUAUU
rnacentral:lncRNA from 1 species